GGUUCAGUAGUGUAGUGGCGAUCACAUCGGUUUCUGAUUCCGGUAACCUGGGUUCGAUUCCCAGCUGAACCU
rfam:Candida tropicalis MYA-3404 genomic scaffold supercont3.8, whole genome shotgun sequence.